rnacentral:rRNA from 1 species
GCACAAGCAGUGGAGUAUGUGGUUUAAUUCGAAGCAACGCGAAGAACCUUACCAGGUCUUGACAUCGGAUGCAUAGCAUAGAGAUAUGUGAAGUCCUUCGGGACAUCCAGACAGGUGGUGCAUGGUUGUCGUCAGCUCGUGUCGUGAGAUGUUGGGUUAAGUCCCGCAACGAGCGCAACCCUUAUUGCUAGUUACUACGAAAGAGGACUCUAGCGAGACUGCCGUUGACAAAA